GAGAGAGAGAGAGGGUGGAGGGAUUGAGAAAAAUAAGAGGAAGAGGCGGUUAAAAUAGUGAGAGAAAGAAAGAGAAGUAGAGAAAAGAGGGAGAGAGAGAGAGGGAGAGGGAGGAAGGGAAGGAGUGAUUGUUUAGCCUGAUCCGCUGUGUGUUUGCUGUUGUAGUAAUCAGGCCAUUCACUGCUAUUUACCCAGUCAUUAUUUGACAGUAAUAACAGCUUUAAAUUUUGGCUAGACUGCUUUGAUGUGUCCUCUACCCUCUCCCUCUUUGCCCUCUCUUUGCCCUCUCUUUGCCCUCUCCUUCUCUGGAUCCCUCUCUACUAAGACAGGGCAUGACUGUCUGGAUGGAGGGAAGGUUAAAGGAGGACAACAGGGGGAGACAAACUGUAUGGGGAGGAGGAUAGGAGAAGAGGAGAGGAGAAGAGAAGAAGAGAAGAAGAAAGAGGACUUGGAGACUUGUCAGGAUCGAGGGAAAGAUGAAUGGAACAAAGUACAGAGAGAUCCUUGAUAAAAACCUGCUCCAGAGCGCUCAGGCCCUCAACUGGGGCAAAGGUUCACCUUCCGACAGGACAGCAACCCUAAGCACACAGCCAAACAUUGCAGGAGUGGCUUUGGGACAAGUCUCUGAAUGUCCUUGAGUGGGCCAGCCAGAGCCAGGACUUGAACCCGAUCUAACAUCUCUGGAGAGACCUGAAAAUAGCUGUACAGUGACGCUCCCCAUCAAACCUGACCAACCUUGAGAGGAUCUGCAGAGAAGAAUGGGAGAAACUCCCAAAAUACAGGUGUGCCAAGCUUGUAGUGUCAUACCCAAGAAGACUCAAGGCUGUAAUCGCUGCCAAAGGUGCUUCAACAAAGCACUGAUUAAAGGGUCUGAAUACUUAUGUAAAUGUGAUAUUUCAUUUUUUUUGCUUUGUCAUUAUGGGUAAUUGUGUGUAGAUUGAUGAGGGAAUAAAACUAUUUAAUACAUUUUAGAAUAAGGCUGUAACGUAACAAAAGGUUGAAAAAGUUAACUUCUUUGGGAUGGUUGAGCUAACGUAGGCUAAUGCAAUUAGCAUGAGGUUGUAAGUAACAAGAACAUUUCCCAGGACACAGACACAUCUGAUAUAGGCAGAAAGCUUAAUUUCUUGUUAACCUAACUGCACUGUCCAAUUUACAGUAGCUAUUACAGUGAAAUAAUAACAUGCUAUUGUUUGAAGAGAGUGCACAAUUUUGAACAUGAAAAGUUAUAAACAAAUUAAGCACAUUUAGGCAGUCUUGAUACAACAUUUUUAGACUGAUCCAAUAAACAAUGGUCUGGAACCUGGUCUGGAAUAAUACAUUUUGGCCUUACUCUUGCGUUUCAAAGAUGAUGGUACUAAAAAAAAUACAAAAGAACGGUUGGUUAUUUCUUUGUAUUAUUUUUACCAGAUCUAUCGUGUUAUAUUGUCCUACAUUCCUUUCACAUUUCCACAAACUUCAAAGGGUUUCCAUUCAAAUGGUACCAAGAAUAUGCCUGAGCUUCUGUCAGUUAGAUUUGGGUAUGUCAUUUUAGGCAAAAAUUGAAAAAAAGGGGCAGAUCCUUAUUAAGGGGUGUGAAAACUGUACGAAUGCACUGUACAUCUGUCACGUCCUGAUCUGUUUCACCUGUCCUUGUGCUUGUCUCCACCCCCUCCAGGUGUCACCCAUCUUCCCCACUUAUCCUCUGGGUAUUUAUACCUGUGUUUCUGUCUCUCUGUGACAGUUCGGCUUGUUUGUCAAACUUACAAGCGUUUAUCCUGUCAGCUCCUGUCUUUUCCCAGUCUCUCUUUUCUCAUCCUCCUGGUUUAUGAACCUUCCCUGUCCUGACCACUCUGCCUGCCCCUGACCCUGAGCCUGUCUGCCAUCCUGUACCUUUGCCCCACCUCUGGAUUACUAAACUAUGCCUGAGCCUGAGCCUGAGCCUGAGCCUGUCUGCCAUCCUGUACCUUUGCCCCACCUCUGGAUUACUAAACUAUGCCUGAGCCUGAGCCUGCCUGCCUGCCGUCCUGUACCUAUGCCCCACUACUCUGGAUUAUCGACCCCUGCCUGCCUUGGCCUGUCAUUUGCCUGCCCUUGUUGUUGCAAUAAACAUUGUUACUUCACACAGUCUGCACUUGGGUCUUAUCAGGUGAUACCUGAUAACAUCAUUGAUCCAUACUCACAUAUGCAGUCAGAGCCGGCUCUAGCCUUUUGGGGCCCAAAGUAAAGCGGAGAGAUUUUUUUUUUUUUAGUUAAUUUACUGAAAUUCUACUAAUUUAAUGUAAUUAUAGUCAUUUGGCAUGGGGUGGAGAAAAAAAUGAUCAAUUUUAACAGGUAAUUUCCUGCAAUUCUACACAUAAACUUAGGGUCCUGGGUCUGAACUACUCCCUGUGCAACUGGGUCCUAUACUUCCUGGUCCUAGACGCCAGGUGGUGAGGGUAGGCAACAACACCUUCGCCAUACUUAUCCUCAACACGGGGGCCCCACAGGUGUGUGUGCUCAGCCCCUUCUUGUACUCCCUCUUCACCCAUGACUACGUGGCUAUGUGCAACUCCAACAGCAUGGCUCUCCAGAGUGUGGUGCAAUCAGCCAAACACAUCACCCAUGGAACACUGCCUGCCCUCCAGAAAAUGUAUAGCACUCGGUGUCAAGGAAGGUCAAGAAGAUCAUUAAGGACCUCAGCCAUGUGAGCCAUGAUCUGUUCACUCUGCUACCAUCUAGCAGACAGUUUUUUAAAUAUAUAUUUUUUAAAUGUAACCUUUAUUUACACUGGGAGUCAUGCUGUGACCAAGGUGCCUUUCUCAGAUAAACGUUGCAUUCACAUCAAUAACCAUCACAAACACAUCAUUAUACACUAUACACACCAAUAUACACUAUACUGUUUGUGACCUCAUGAAAGACAGACACAUUACCCUAACUCUGUUUAUACAGGUUCCUCACUUAUGAGGCUUGCAUCUAAUUCUUGUAUAAAAUGAAUGAGUAAAGAUUAAACCAUUUGUGAAAUUA